rnacentral:lncRNA from 1 species
CAGGAAUGCCAAAUGUAUAUAUAAUUAGACACUUAGGAAAAAGUCAAGGAGCCUCGUGUUUAUCGUGCUGGCUCCGUCUCCUGCGCUUUUGGCACUGUGGUUUCUCAGCUGAGCUUCAGGCAGUUGCCUGGGCUGUUAAAUAGCCCUCACCAGGACAAGCAGCUGAGGAAUCCCUGCAGCUCAUUCUGCACUGUGCCGCUGGUGGGUAUUGCUCUUCCAGAGGGCUCAGCUUUAAAGGAAUUUGCUCGAGGGAAGGCGACAGCUGCUGCUCUGAUGAAGGAUUUUUCUGAGCAGGCCUCCCAAGCAAGACAUGUCAGGAUGAGAUGCUGCCUACGCUUUUCAUCACAACCAACAGUGACCAUCAGAAGAGGGAUCAACAAAAGCCUUCUGCCACUGAACACACACGGAAAUGCACAGUCCCAAGGACUGAUUUUUGUCUUGAGAUUGGGAUUUAUGCAGCGCUUUCUUUCUGGAAGGUCUGAGGAUAGAAAAAGUGCCGUAUGACACCUCAUGGGUGUUCCUCGCUUUUCAGCAGUAAAUCUGUUUCUCCAGAGGCAGAAAAAGGAAGAAGGAACACGGCUAAUGAUGCUCGGUGGGGCAAUUCGCCCUUUUAUUUCCUGAUGUAUUCCCUGACUGAUGGAAAAUCACUCUUGGCAAACACAAAACUUACCUUGCUGCCAAAAGGUUGUUAAACUGCAAUCAAAAGCACUUAGUAGGAAUGGAUCUGUCCCUAUUAUGAGAUUUGAACUCCUGACAUCUUUAUCCAGUGGAACUUGAGUGCCCAGGACACAACCAAGAGGGGAUUCUGAGAUCGUUUUUCAACCCCUGCGACUGUGAGCCAGUUGCAGCAUGAGGAAAAGCCCUCCAACACCCCAAUGUACAGGAAAGAGAAGGUAAGGCAAUUCUCUUCAGGUAGCUUUUAGAUAUGGUGCAUUCAGUGAAGUGCCCCAGGCCAGCAAAAUGUGUCCACCUCCACGCUGACACUGCUUUCACUCCUGGAAAGGGCAAGGUUUGAGUACAGCAUCUCUUACAAUCACUGUAAUCUUAUGCAGAGACUAGUCCCUUCUGUCAAUAUAAGCUGCUUGCAACCCUCAUGCGACAAGGUGGGUGUAACAGAUUAAAACACUUGGGUCUUUCCUCCCACUCUGCAGCAAAAGUUCCCCUUGUGAAAGAACAAAUGCCAGUGUUAUUCCACAUGAGAUUCCAUCUGAGCUGGAAAAUAACACAAAAAUGUAGUUCUUUAGAUAUUUCACAGCAAAUAAAUAGCUCCAGGAAAAGAACAACAACAAAAAAGUUCAAGCUUGUGCUUGCAGAGACAGUAAACCACCAUAUUUCAGCAGUCAUGGCAGGUAAUUCUAGCUGGAAAUUGUAUAUUUAAUGAUGGCCAGCCUUCAGCAUUUGACAACAGACUAUUGAAGCCUGUUGAAUGGUAAAUCACCUCUCUUCAUUAUCAGUAAUCCUAUUAUAAUAUCUGUAGAAAUGUCUAAAGUUAAAAUCUCAUUUUAUUACUAUAAUAAUGGAUCUCAUUUGUAAAACAUAUGAAAUGAGGCCAUAACUGUACUGGAGGGAGAUAUAUGUGAACCCACUACAUCUAUAUCUACUUCCUGAUGGCUUUUGCCCACAUAUGCUCACAUUUUGAACAGGAGAAGAACUAAAAUAAAUGCCACUUGCAUGAUUUUUGGGAUUGGGUAUGGUUUUUAGAAAGGAAACCAACAUGAUCACAGAAAUGGAGUAAUCUCCACAAAAAAAGAACAGCCUUAAAUUUACAUUUAUGCAUAGGGAUAUGUAGGUGUUAAUCUGUGAUUUGCUCCAUUCAGCCCUUUCCAAUUGCCAGGAAAGCCCAGCUGCACAUCCACUAUUAUCACUACAUACUAUUUUUGGCUGCUGAGUACAUUUCAAGACACGUCAUCCUUCCCAAUCCAACACUUGCAUGAAGGGCAGAAACUCCUCUCUCCACUCCUCUGUCAUCUAUCACAGCUCCCAUCCCUUGGUGGCACUGCUGGCUCAGCCCUCCCUGCAGAGGGAUCUCCAGCAGUUUCUCCUCAAUCCUCACCAUUUCCUUGAAUGAGCUGCUUUCCAACUGAAGCUUCAUGCAGGAGGCUUCAUGAUAGCAUCCAGAGUACAUGUCCCAAGUAUGUCCAGCCCCAUCUUCUGAUCCUAGUGCAGAGCAGCUCCCGGUAAGUAAUCUCUUGAUGAGUGAUAGAGUUUUUGUGCUCAGUGCCCACAGCUUUUCACAGGUGGGUUGUUUAUAACAGCAUAUAUUUUCCAACCUAACACUUUGGUAGGUUUCCAAUUCUUAUCAUUGCAUGUUGAUGCUGGGUUGCUGUCUGAGGGGAAAAUGCAUAAUAUUUUUCUGACACUGUCUAGCUUUGAUUUCCACAGGUUGUUAAAGCCUAGUAAAUACUGUAAAUUCCACUUCUUGUUUAAGGUUUUUGUUGGCUAGGUGCUAUCCAGCUAUCUAUCUGUUUAACAUUUUUUCUAUUCUGAGGUGACAUUGCUGAGAGCUUUUUGACAGAUCUCAUAUGGAAAAAAGUGUCUUGUGGGGUUAUGAAUCUCUUAAAAUAUAAGGUUUCCUUGGCUGUGCCACAGGAGGACACAUCCCAGCAAGAGCUGUGACCAUUGCUGGUCUGAGCUGGGCAUCUUGUGCUGUGUCUUCCUGAAGCUGCUACCUUUUCCAAUGAAGUAAUUAAAUAUUCAUUAUGUCAGAAAGCAUGCGUGCACGUGUGUGUGUAUGUGUAAGACUACAGCAGAGUGAUCAGGGCAGUCACCUGAUAGACAAGAGACCCUGUUCCCAGUGACUGCUGCAAUGAAUAUUUAAGUAUUUAACAUUAAGUAUUCAUUGGCACAAGGACUGGAGCAGACCUCUUCCACCCCCAAGGGAGCACCCAAACACCAGGCUGCUAAGUCAUUCUUUCAUCCUUACUUUCUUUGUCCCAAUGAAUAUUUAAUUAUUCCAGGCCAAACAAGAUGGCUUCAGUGGCAGAGAUUGAGAUUCCUCACUAUGUGUACCACAGGUCUGAUGAUUAAGGUGUGCAUAUAGGAGAUGUGGGUUCGUAUUCCCUUGGACUUAGAUGCUGAAUCCAGAUCCCCUGUACUCUGCGUGUGUCUUCCAGCUUCUGAGUUGCUGGACAUAAAACCACAGAUUUCCACCAUUCUGCCCAUGAAGAUGACACAGAGAAGACAGAUGACAGUAGCUGUCCUCCUUCAAUACUGAGGAAAAGGCCACCUGUGGACCAGGCUGUGGGGGAAAAGCGGAAAGCAGAGAGAAGGGUUCGAUUUCGUGAGCCGGAAGAAGUCAUUGAGCAUGUUAUUUCCUGCUGUGACUACGUAGUGGUACAUGACAGGUCUUCACCUGGAUUGCCUAUGCUCCUGGGGCUAUCAUUUUGUGUGGUACUGAUCCUGGCUGCAAGUCUCUUCUACACCAGCAUGAAGCAAGAUACCAAAGUCCUGGAAGAGUUUCAAUCCCGACUUGUUAUCUUCUUUCUUCAGAUAAGACACAUUGCUCAUAGAUGCUGGACCUGGUUUACAAGGUAGUAGCAAUGUCCUCCAUUUGCAGGAAGGCAGCACUGAUAAUCACCACGUGUCAGAGAGAACCUCCCAGCCCCCUCAGUCCACACGUAAGGAACACGAGUAUCCACCUUGAAGAGCAAAAAAAGCCACCCAUUUUGUGCACUUUCUAACAUCUACUUGUUCUCUCUUUUUUUAAAUAUAUAUAUUUUUUAAUAUUUCUGAAUGAUAGUAGUAGCACUAAGAGGUCCCACCAAACUGAUGUUCCAUCACCCUUAGCAGCAAACAAGGGUAUGAGUUUAGUCCCCUGAAGAGACUAUAAACUGUUGCUAUAAGGAGCAGAGGCAGAGAGAGGAAUUCAUUGAUCUGUGCAUGCAGAAGUACAUUGAAUAGAAGUCUCCUGAGUCUCAGGUCAAAGAAUAAACACCAAACCAUUUUUCUCCUCAAGCCUCUUACGUGCUAUUCUGCAAAGUUUAACAUAAAGCUGAACUAUGGCACAAACACUGCUCCGCUGGCCAAAGGCUUGGCAAGCUGCUAUAUUUAUAUACUUGAAAUGAUUGCUAGUAAAAAUCUCAGCAAAUGGCUUUCUUGUUUCCCUUCAUGCAUUUUUUCCUCUGUGGGCAAAAGCUGUUCCUUAAUGUUUCACUUGACUCCCAGGUGUGAAAAAUAACGUGAGAACUCAUUUAAAUACUAAACAGUGCAUUUGCCUAACACAAUACAGGGCAGCAUUGAAUCCCAGGUUAAUUAUCAAAUCAGAACUUAAUCCUCUUGGUUUGAUUCAGUCCAUAAACCCAAGAUUUAUGGUUGUGUUUGUCUUCAGUCGAAGCUUUCACAUUUAUGCCUGCAUGUUCAAGGGUAUUAUAGACUGUUUACAAAGGUGUUGGGUCAAAGCCCUGUUAUCUCUGUUGUAGCACCAUACAGCGUACCUCUCUGGAGGGAACCAAGCAUAUGCAAUCUUAUGAGCUUCAGCUAUGCUUUGUUCUUAGAAUCACGUAAUUGCUCAGGUUGGAAAAGACCUUCAAGAUCAUGAAGUCAACCACAGACAGAAACAGCAUGAUCCAUUUUCCAGGCCCUACAUUCUUGUCGAGUAAUACUUGAUAUAUGCAUAAGGGUGACAGCAGAGCCCAUAGAAGCUGAAGAAAAGAAAGGAAACAGUGGAGAAGAGGAAAGAGAUGCCUGCAAGACCUUGGCUUUAACUCCUCUGCCACAGUAAUGCACCAGAAGGAAAAAAAAAAUUCCUAACCGACUUUCAAAAAAAGCAAGCUUGUCCAGGCUGCCCAAAAAUUUAAACCAGACAGAGGGUAAAAGAAAACCAAUUACAUAGCCUUCACCUAGAGCAGAGUGGGCAGCAAGUUGACCAAUAACGAGCACAAAAAUAUAUGUAUUUGUAGUCAGUAAGAACUGACUUGAGCAGCUAUUCUCAUGCUCUGAAGGCAACAGCAAUUGCACCUGGGGAGCUGCUGGUCUGGGACACACAGGGCACUGCAGGAGCGUUUGGCUCAGUGGCUCUUUAUGCAAACCACUCAUGCACCCCAGCCCUCAGGGUAAGUCCCCUGAGGCUUCCCUGCUCUCUCUCUCUCUCUCUCUCUCUCCACUCAGCCCACUGUUGGGAUAAUAAAGAAGAGGUUUUAAACUUAUGCUCUGGUGAAUCUAUGGUGGGAAGGUUUUUCCGGAAGAGUCAAUUCCUGCACUGCAAGUUGUGGUAUAUUGCAACAUAAAAAGGCAAAGCCUGACAGGAGCUGGAUCACUUAGAGGGAGAGCAGUACCACAAAUCCUUCCUGCGUGCUUCAAUGCAGUUUCAGUAACUUGAAAAGAAGCCAAGGGGUUAAAAUUAACCAGGAACUCCUUUUAGGACUGUGAGGGAUGAUAUGAAAUCCAUAUGCAUGUUAAUAUGCAUGGGGCCUCCUUCUUCUAGCCCUGCUCAAGGUGGAAAAUAGCCACGCUGACCUUGCUGUGCCCAGGUUUAUCAGUGUGAGAGGCCCACACUGAGAAUGGCUAUCACAUCCAGGUUGGCAAGGGAAAUAAAGCAGAGGAGCAGCUAUUCCUGGCUCUGGCUAGGACAGCUUUAGGCACAGGCAAUAGCAGCACUUGAGUUGUCUGCAGAUUCCCCAUGUUUUUGGGAGGCUUCCUGGGCUGGGAUUCUUUGCUGCGAUCAGUCAGGUAUUUGGCAAAAUGCAGAGAGCCAAAAGAAUGCAUUGUAGAGUACCAGCAGACAGCCUGAAACAAAUAAAAGCUAAAAUCUGUCCCUGGGAGAGCAGUGACCUUUUACAGCUGAAGAAUCUGCAGCUGAGAAAGCCAGUGCCUCUGUGCAAGUGAAUGAAGCAGGUCAAUAGCCAGGGUGGAAAUAGGAGUUAAAGUCCUGACCUCUAGGCCUGCCUUUAAUUACCAAUGCACAGCUCCACUGUAGACUUACCUGUUUUAUUUUCUCCUGGCACUGAAGCACUUGUCCCCUCAAACCAUUCUGCUUACACACAGCACCAUUCUCAUACUCUGUUCUUUAUCCAUCACACAUCUGUGCAUACUGCUGUGAGUCAGAGAGGAUUUCUCCUUGCUCUUGCUCAACACUGCUUUCUUAGGUGUGACACCUUGGUGAGUUUGGAGAAGAUGACCUCUGAAUUUAUACAGAAUGGGUUGUGUUGGUUACUGUUUCCCUUGCAGGCUGUGCUGGGUAAUAUUUUCCUCCAGUAUGACUCCCGAGAAUUGCUUUAUAAGGAGGAAAACAAACGGAGAGGGAUGUAAUAAUGAUAAUGUAAUAAAUGGUCAAACGUUCACAUGAAUUCACUGCGGUGCCAACAUGAAGACUAACUAAAACUCAGCUAUCUCUGAGCAAUUAUUUAGUCUAUCGUGGAAAUGUCAUUUUUUUUCAUCAAGUUGCAGAGAGGAGCGACAGACUCUUGCAGCAAGUUUUGAAGAAGGCUGCAAAUAAGUAGGCUUGCUAUGAGCACUGUCUGGAUUGGUAAGAAUCCAAGGGACAGAAGAGAGCAGAGAGUUCUGUGCACGAAAAGAGGCCUAAGGGCAGAAGUGCUCCUUACUAUCCUUUAUGCAAUGGGUGUUAAAUUCAUGCAUAGCAGGAAUCAGCAGAUCAUGGCAGUGUUGUUCUGACAAUGUGCAGUGCAUUCCUGCAGCAGAAACAGAGGGCAGCUGCCAGCACCCUCUUCAGGCAGGCUCACCCCAUCAGCACCACCUGAUUGCAUUAGCUGGCAUAGCCAUUCCCAUAUGAUUACAGGAUGUAGAAAAGCACACAGUGAGAUGACACUAGAUUUUUUGUGUGUUAACCUCUUAACACACUUUGCAUUCAUGUUUGCAGCUCCAAAGUCUGCUUCUAGUCCUGCUCUACUGCUUCACCUCUCCAGCACUGUGAGUCUGGAAACAAGUUAAGGAGCACAAGCAGUCUGUGGUAGCAAUUUUAGUUGUUUCUGCCUUUUACCACUUCAAAGCAAGCGGAAGGUUGGCAGCAUGUGACUACACAAAAAAAAGAAAAGCAUUGCAGCUACCCUAAAGAAAUAGCUCAGGAGCCUCCAAGAUUAUAGAGUGGACUCCUUUCUCACUAUUUCUUUCUCCACAGUGGCUGUUGGGAUUUAGUCUCACUCCUGGAGAGAAAGGCUGCUGCUACAGGAAGAAAAUUAGUCAGUUGACAAUUAGAAGAUUAACCUGCCCAUGCAACCUGUAAUAGCCCUUUACACUUGGUAACAAGCUGACCUUCAGCCACAUCCUGACACAGGAUCUUCUUCUCUUUGCCUUCUUUAGCAUUAGAGUUCACUGCUGGAAGAUGGUGAAAGGGCUCAGCUUAGGAGGUUGGUCACAUCCUUGACCAUAGGAGCUGCAGCAAGGAGAUUCCAAGGAAUGACUGCAUAAACCAGGAUUACACCAGUAACUCUGGUAACCAUUUUUUAACCAACAUAGUAAUAAUUUCAAUUCACCCUCAAAAAAAAAGGCACAGAAAUACUAACUUUUCAAAUAGUUUAUUUGUAUAUAUCAACAAAUCAUAAAAAGCCAAUGCACUGUCCAGCAAAAAGCAUCAAUAUAUAAAACACAUUUAAUCGUUAUCAGUAAUACUUGAGUAUACCACUUACACUGAGCCCAGUCCAGCUCCCUACUAAAGCCAAAGGAAACAUUGUCAAUGACUCCGUUAGCAGAAGGAUUGGACUUGCAAUUUCUAUUUGCCAGGUGUUUACAAAUGCUUGCAUUAAAAUACUAGUAUAAAGUUUCCCCUUUGAGACUGUAUCAAAACAACGAUAAGUUUAACUCCAAUUCUGUUUCUGUCAAAUGCAUGCAAUUAAUGCUCCAGAUCAGCACUCGUUACACUGCAGGAGAGCAUACAAAGCAUGAGAAAGAAUAUUCAAAACAGAGCAAGCUCUACCCUCAGCUUGUGUGGACUGGCAUGGCUCCAACGAGGCUUACAAAGCUAAGCUGCAUACACCAGCUAAAGAUCUGUCCCAAUCCUACUUUCAGCAGUUAAACAAAUUGUCAAAGUCUGGAGACCUCAAAAACAAAUUAUGAAACACUGAGUGGUCCAAGCUAAGGCUGAAACUGGCAUCAGCACUGCCAGCCCAGGCUCUGCCACACUGGACCCCUCACAUCACAGCCUGAAUGCUGAAGUCCCUCACAGGAAGAACACUAACAGUUCUCAUUAUCUAUUUUUAUUCUGACUUACGGCACUCUCCUACCCCCUUUUUGCUAUCCUUGUUCCUGAUAGGAAGAGAUGUGAGAAACAAGGCCUGAUUAGCCUGGUGGCAAUAAAACUCUGUAACGUUUCCAAGAGUGUUUUUAGAGAAGAAAGGAUUCAGGGGAAGGAGAUGUCAGUGGAACUGGAUUAUUUUUCUUUAUAAACCUGCAAAAAAAACCUUUUAGCAGUACACUUCAAAUCAUGAUAUAUUCAUUUCUCAAGAGAGCUGAAAAAGAGCGGUAGUUUUAUUCAGGGAGUAUUUGACAAAAAUCUCUAAUGGCACCAAUUUACUGUGGAUGUGAUCCCACUGCAGUCUUGUGGUCACCGACCAAAAGGGCGGUUUACAUCUCCUAAAAAACACUGGUUUGAGGAGACUGACAGCAGCUUUAGAAGCCAAAUGGUGACCACACCGAGCAGUGAGGAUUUAAAUCAUUGCAGCAGUCUAGAAAGUGGCAAUGGUUAAUUAACAUGAAGAUCCAGUGUGCUACAGGAGGAUGUGUGGUAUCUCAGACACAGACUGUUGCACUUUGCAGUGUUAACAGGAAAAAAGUAAUUCCUUCUGCUGUGGGACUGAGUGGGUGAAGAGCUCUGGACUGUGUUGUGUGGGAUACUAUGACAGAGUAUUUUCAAACAUCUCCCUGCUUUAGAAUCUAUGGAUUAACGUAUCACUCAUCUGAUUCCACCAGGUUGCUUAAGGGAAUCCUGGCAACCAACUUUGGGAAUCUUUUAGAGCAACGUGUCAGCCAAAUCAGGCCUGGUUUGUGUAAAAGGAAGAGUUUGGCACCAAACCUCAGGGAGUCCAAAUGAGAAUAGCAAAAAAAAACUGAAAUGCUUUUUAUUUCUCUAACAAAUGGCAAAGUUUGCCAUAGGAGCUGCAAUUUCUCUUACAUUCAUAAAUACUGUUCAGAAGCUGUACACAAACUGGAGUCAAACAUGCACAGACGUGGGGGGAAAGGAGGGGAAAAUAAGGACUUUCACCACAGGGUCAUAUAUCCACUUGUGUAAGAAAUCACUCAAGAGGGCAACAGCAAUGAUGAAUUUUCAUUCCUACCUCCUGGCAGGGCAUCUCCACCCUCUCUUUACACCAUAGACAUGUGGAAAGGAGGAACAAGAAUACCUCAGACUACAUUUCCACAAUAA